rnacentral:rRNA from 1 species
UACGAGAGGCCCAAACGUUAUUCGGAAUUACUGGGCUUAAAGAGUCCGUAGGCGGCGCGGUAAGUGGGGUGUGAAAGCCCUCGGCUCAACCGAGGAAUUGCGCUCCAAACUACCGUGCUUGAGGAACCUAGAGGUGAGCAGAACUGAUGGUGGAGCGGUGAAAUGCGUUGAUAUCAUCAGGAAUACCGGAGGCGAAGGCGGCUCACUGGGGGUUUUCUGACGCUGAGGGACGAAAGCCAGGGGAGCGAACGGG